rnacentral:rRNA from 1 species
GACGAACGCUGGCGGCGUGCUUAACACAUGCAAGUCGAACGGAAAGGCCCUGCUUUUGUGGGGUGCUCGGGUGGCGAACGGGUGAGUAACACGUGAGUAACCUGCCCUUGACUUUGGGAUAACUUCAGGAAGCUGGGGCUAAUACCGGAUAGGAGCUCCUGCUGCAUGGUGGGGGUUGGAAAGUUUCGGCGGUUGGGGAUGGACUCGCGGCUUAUCAGCUUGUUGGUGGGGUAGUGGCUUACCAAGGCUUUGACGGGUAGCCGGCCUGAGAGGGUGACCGGCCACAUUGGGACUGAGAUACGGCCCAGACUCCUACGGGAGGCAGCAGUGGGGAAUAUUGCACAAUGGGCGGAAGCCUGAUGCAGCAACGCCGCGUGCGGGAUGACGGCCUUCGGGUUGUAAACCGCUUUCGCCUGUGACGAAGCGUGAGUGACGGUAAUGGGUAAAGAAGCACCGGCUAACUACGUG